UACCUGCAGCUCGAGUGGUAACCGCUAUUAUUGGGCCUAAAGCGUCCGUAGCCGGUUUGGUAAAUAUCUGGGUAAAUCGUGAGGCUUAACUUCACGAAUUUCGGAUAGACUGCCAGACUUGGGAUCGGGGGAGGUCAGAGGUACUCCAGGGGUAGCGGUGAAAUGUUGUAAUCCUUGGAGGACCACCGGUAGCGAAGGCGUCUGACUAGAACGAGUCCGACGGUGGGGGACGAAGCCCUGGGGCGCAAACCGGAUUAGAUACCCGGGUAGUCCAGGGUGUAAACGAUGUGGGCUUUGUAUUGGAGGUCCCACGUGGGCGUCCAGUGCAGAAGAGAAGUUGUUAAGCCCACCGCCUGGGAAGUACGGUCGCAAGGCUGAAACUUAAAGGAAUUGGCGGGGGAGCACAGCAACGGGAGGAGCGUGCGGUUU
rnacentral:rRNA from 1 species